AUCGCCUAGAGCGUCCUACGCGCCACCACAUAACAGUAGCACACCUCGCUUCCGAGCCACACAGAAGGCGGCAAAGCUGCUCGUCGCCACAAACAACAGCCAAACCAACGCGACAGAAAAACCACAAAUCUAAUCCAAACGGGAACCAACCACCGCCUACCCGCUGUAGAUAAGGGUCUCUACCACGAACUUUGACGGACCACGAACCAUAAACCUCAAAGAUUCAACAACCAGAAACCGUUAA
rnacentral:lncRNA from 1 species